CCCUUAGAUGUUCUGGGCCGCACGCGCGCUACACUGACGAAGUCAGCGAGCAUGUCCUACGCCGACAGGUGCGGGGAAUCUUGUCAAACUUCGUCGUGAUGGGGAUUGAUUAUUGAAAUUCUUGAUCAUCAACGAGGAAUUCCUAGUAAGCGCAAGUCAGCAGCUUGCGUUGAUUACGUCCCUGCCCUUUGUACACACCGCCCGUCGCUACUACCGAUUGAAUGGUUUAGUAAGAUCUUCGGAUUGGCGCCACUGCGGCUCAGCAAUGGGCUCGGUGGAUGCCGAAAAGUUGAUCAAACUUGAUCAUUUAGAGGAAGUAAAAGUCGUAACA
rnacentral:rRNA from 1 species